GGCCGCAAGUAAGCACACUACAACUCCCAGCAGCCACCACUACCUGGACAGCUGCAGGUGCUUAAGAGCCUUGAUUGAGGCAGGACAAAGGAGCUGGAAGUCAGACUGGAGCUGUGUCUCAAUUCAGGGGCUGCAUCCUCCUGAGGCUGCAUUUUGAAGGCCGAUUGCGUCACAACGCUGCGCGAAGGCUGUCCCAUUUCGAAGGCUCCUUCAAAAACACCCGGAUGCAGCCCACAAAUGCGGCCUUCUUUUCCCUGUUCUAGAGGGACACAUCGCUACUAUCCUUCACGGCCCCAUAUAUCCCAAGAUCCUUUGCGCCGCUGCUCAUUCAUGAAAAUUAGACAUGGCGAUACCGGAACGUAGCGGAGAGAGCAUGAAAUUCACAUUCGAAUGGAGCAAGGAGCAGACACAAACAUUCAUAAAGCUUCGCAAGAAGCACGACAUAUUGUUCACUGGGGCCAAGAACUCAGCCGCUGUGGGAUGGAGAACAAUCUUGGAAGAGAUGGGCCUGCAUUAGCUGGUCACUCCCAUGCAGGCCCAAAAAAAGUGGGACAACCUGAAAAAGAAAUACAAAGUAUGUGCAGACAUGGAUGAUGAUAUUGAAACUAGAUGAUGUUGUUUUAUAUUGAUAUAUUUCAGUGUUUCCCUCAGUGUAUAGCGAGCCCGGGGGCAGACUGGACCUAAGUUGACCCCCCACCAUGCCUAAGUAUCGGGGAAAUGUUGUUUAAGAUGUUAUGUUUUGCAGCAACAUUCACAUCACAUAGUCAUAUUUUUAAAUCUCCUGUCAGCUUUUAGCACUGAGUUCAUGUAGCAUCUCCACACAAAUUACAGUUGGCUGCCACCCCCCAUUGAAAUCUUACCCAUAAAGUUGUGCAAUUUGUGUUCCCUGACCAGCUUGCCACCGGACCAGAAACUUGUCUACAGGAAACCCUGAUAUUUGUUUUACUGUAUUUGUUGUCCUCCAUGCAAUUUAAUAAACAUUGCCAAAAAUGA